rnacentral:lncRNA from 1 species
CAAGUCCGUCUAGUUCAGACUCAGACAGGUGGAAGAAGUCAACUCCUAACUAGGGUAUAAUGAAGCAUGAUGGAAGUAUUUGACCCAGUGGCUCUUCUAUACCCAGGAGGCCCUGACUGCCACAUUCACCAGUUGAUUUUCCAGGGAACAUAAUCAGAGGCAGAAUCGUCUGGUGGUUAAAAGUACAAUCUGGAGUUAGACUGCUUGAUUUUCAAUCCCAGCUCUUCCACUCAUCAGCUUUGUUAUCUUAGGGCCAGGUAACUAGAUUGAAGCAGAGUCCAUGAAGAACUAACCAUGCCUCACUCCACCCCUGCAGAUGGCUCCUUCAUGAAGAUCUCCCCAUUUGAAACACAACAUCUGUUUCCUGCUGGGACCCUGACUGACACAACGGUCAAAAUAAGCUCCUCCAUGGGAAGCAUUGAGAGAGGCAGAAAAUAAAGAGAAGGAAGAUAAUACUAUCCA